GGCAUGCAAGUCGAACGAGGAUAUAUCCUUCGGGAUAUAAGCCGAGUGGCGCAAGGGUGAGUAAUGCAUAGAUUACCUGCCUUUAGGAUAAGGACAACUUUGUGAAAACGGAGCUAAUACUUAAUAAUACAAAAGGAAAUAAUUUUCUUUUGUCAAAUGGGGGGUAGCAAUACCUUUCGCCUAAAGAGGGGUUUAUGUCCUAUCAGCUUGUUGGUGGGGUAACGGCCUACCAAGGCAAAGACGGGUAGCCGGCCUUAGAGGGUGGUCGGCCACACUGGGACUGAGACACUGCCCAGACUUCUACGGAAGGCUGCAGUCGAGAAUCUUUCGCAAUGCCCGAAAGGGUGACGAAGCGACGCCGCGUGGGUGAGGAAGGCCUUCGGGUUGUAAAGCCCUGUCAGGAGUUAAGAAAUGUAGGUACGCUAAUAUCGUGCUUAUUUGACAAAGACUCCAAAGGAAGCCACGGCUAACUCUGUGCCAGCAGCCGCGGUAAUACAGAGGUGGCAAGCGUUGUUCGGAAUUAUUGGGCGUAAAGAGCACGUAGGUGGAUUUGUAAGUCAGAUGUGAAAGCCUUCUGUUCAACGGGAGAAUUGCAUCUGAAACUACAAACCUUGAGUGUAGGAGGGGAGAAUGGAACUUCUGGUGGAGCGGUGAAAUGCGUAGAGAUCAGAAGGAACGCCGGAGGCGAAGGCGACUCUCUGGACCGUUACUGACGCUGAGGCGCGAAAGCUAGGGGAGCGAAUGGGAUUAGAUACCCCAGUAGUCCUAGCCGUAAACGAUGGGCACUAAGUAGAGGGGUUUU
rnacentral:rRNA from 1 species